UAGCCAGACUCCUACGGGAGGCAGCAGUGGGGAAUAUUGGGCAAUGGGCGCAAGCCUGACCCAGCAACGCCGCGUGAAGGAAGAAGGCUUUCGGGUUGUAAACUUCUUUUGUCAGGGACGAAGCAAGUGACGGUACCUGACGAAUAAGCCGCGGCUAACUACGUGCCAGCAGCCGCGGUAAUACGUAGGUGGCAAGCGUUAUCCGGAUUUAUUGGGUGUAAAGGGUGCGUAGGCGGGAUGCUAAGUCAGCGGUAAAAUUGCGGUGCUCAACGCCGUAGAGCCGUUGAAACUGGCGUUCUUGAGUGGGCGAGAAGUAUGCGGAAUGCGUGGUGUAGCGGUGAAAUGCAUAGAUAUCACGCAGAACCCCGAUUGCGAAGGCAGCAUACCGGCGCCCAACUGACGCUGAGGCACGAAGGUGCGGGUAUCGAACAGGAUUAGAUACCCCUGUAAC
rnacentral:rRNA from 1 species